rnacentral:rRNA from 1 species
ACGGGGUGCAGCAGGCGCGAAAACUUUACAAUGCGAGAAAUCGUGAUAAGGGAACCCCGAGUGCCCGUAAAUUCGGGCUGUCCGCCAGUGUAAAUAACUGGUGAAGAAAGGGCCGGGCAAGACCGGUGCCAGCCGCCGCGGUAAUACCGGCGGCUCGAGUGGUGGCCACUAUUACUGGGCUUAAAGCGUCCGUAGCUGGAUUGUUAAGUCUCUUGGGAAAUCCACCGGCUCAACCGAUGGGCGUUCAGGAGAAACUGGCAAUCUAGGGACCGGGAGAGGUGAGAGGUACUCCAGGGGUAGGAGUGAAAUCCUGUAAUCCUUGGGGGACCACCUGUGGCGAAGGCGUCUCACUAGAACGGCUCCGACAGUGAGGGACGAAAGCUGGGGGAGCAAACCGGAUUAGAUACCCGUGUAGUCC